UACAGAAAGAGUUUGCUGACCCCUGAACUAGCUGAGUAGAUGGCUGGGGUUUGUGGCAUUUCCAGCCCCUAUGGUGUGCAGCUUGGAGAAGUUUAGUAGCCACUGAAAUCCAGAAUGAGGGAGAAAACUACCUACUCCGGAACACCCUCUUUUCUGCCAAAAUAUAUCAUAUUCUAGAAUGAAAAGAUGAAUGAAGAGGAAAGUCUAACUUAACAAGAAGCUCUCUGGAAUCCUCUAAUGAGACACCCAACAUAGCCUUGGCAGUACAGAGGUAACCCAGUCCUCACAGCCAGCCCCAUAACUGUGUCACAAUCUCCAAAGCAAAGGAAGCUGGCUGGCUGUGCUUCCGAGACGAGGUGAGGUCAUUCAGUGCCUUGACAUUUCUUAUGAUGGCCAGCUGCAAGGCAGUCCUUUCAAUAGGCAGAGAGGGGGCUUCUCAACUGAUUGUUUUUUAGUCCACCCUGGAGAGUGUGGGUUACCUCGACACUGUAGAUCCUUGUUGAUCCUCUAGUAUAUGAUUUUCUUCACUUACAAAAUUAAAUUAAUAAAAGCAA